rnacentral:ncRNA from 1 species
CAGGUCGAGGGACGAAAGUCGGGACUAGUGAUCCGGCAGUGGCUUGUGGAAGCGCUGUCGCUCAACGGAUAAAAGGUACCUCGGGGAUAACAGGCUGAUCUUGCCCAAGAGUCCAUAUCGACGGCAUGGUUUGGCACCUCGAUGUCGGCUCGUCGCAUCCUGGGGCUGGAGUAGGUCCCAAGGGUUGGGCUGUUCGCCCAUUAAAGCGGUACGCGAGCUGGGUUUAGACGUCGUGAGACAGUUCGGUCCCUAUCCGCUGCGCGCGUAGGAAGUUUGAGAGGAUCUGACCCUAGUACGAGAGGACCGGGUUGGACGAACCUCUGGUGUGUCAGUUGUUCCGCCAGGAGCACCGCUGAUUAGCUACGUUCGGGAUGGAUAACCGCUGAAAGCAUCUAAGCGGGAAGCCGGCCUCAAGAUGAGACUUCCAUACCCUUCGGGGUGAGAGGCUCCCAGCCAGACUACUGGGUUGAUAGGCCGGAUGUGGAAGCGUAGUAAUACGUGAAGCUGACCGGUACUAAUAAGCCGAUGACUUGAUAAC